CAGGCUCACCCCUCCGUUCCCU
rnacentral:miRNA from 1 species